rnacentral:rRNA from 1 species
CAUGGUUGUCGUCAGCUCGUGUCGUGAGAUGUUGGGUUAAGUCCCGCAACGAGCGCAACCCUUAUUACUAGUUGCCAUCAUUAAGUUGGGCACUCUAGUGAGACUGCCGGUGAUAAACCGGAGGAAGGUGGGGAUGACGUCAAAUCAUCAUGCCCCUUAUGACCUGGGCUACACACGUGCUACAAUGGAUGGUACAACGAGUCGCCAACCCGCGAGGGUGCGCUAAUCUCUUAAAACCAUUCUCAGUUCGGAUUGCAGGCUGCAACUCGCCUGCAUGAAGUCGGAAUCGCUAGUAAUCGCGGAUCAGCACGCCGCGGUGAAUACGUUCCCGGGCCUUGUACACACCGCCCGUCACACCACGGAAGUUGGGAGUACCCAAAGUAGGUUGCCUAACCGCAAGGAGGGCGCUUCCUAAGGUAAGACCGAUGACUGGGGUGAAGUCGUAACAAGGUAGCCGUAUCGGAAGGUGCGGCUGGAUCACCUCCUUUCUAAGGAA